AUGCGCGAUGGAUGCAGUGUGGUAUCACAGGACUGCCAAGAUGGAGGCUUAUCGCUUCCAUCUGUGAUACCCACGCAGCUGCGCAGCGGACGGUCGACUGUCACAACCAUGAACGACGAUAACGGGAAUGUAAGAGACCAGCGCCCCACCAACACUUCAACGGUCAAAACUCGCCAACGUGACCCCCAGGAUUUCACCGGUUCAGCCGACGCUGACGUUCUGGACUGGCUCAAAAAUUACGACCGGGUGAGCCAACACAACCGUUGGGACGACACCAUCAAACUCGCCAACGUCGUAUUUUUCCUCAAAGGGACUGCACUCCAAUGGUACGACAAUCACGAGGAAGAAAUUAAUUCAUGGGAUGCGUUCAAAACCGCCUUCGCAGACGUCUUCGGUACACCUGAACGCAGAAGACAAGCGCGGGACAAACUCUCCAGGAGAUACCAAGCCCCCUCCGAAACAUCGACGUCCUACAUCGAGGACGUCCUUCGCCUCUGCGGACGUGUCAACGCAGCUAUGCCGGAGGACGAAAAAAUCAAGCACCUCUUCAAAGGAUUAUCCCAAGAGCUGUUUUCCAUCGUCGCACCCAGGUCACCUCAGACCGUGCAGCAGCUCAUUGCAGAAUGCAAGCAUUAUGAAGACCUUCAAAGUGGUCGGAUCUCCAACACCGGAUUUGAACGGCUCCCUGAAGUUUCAACUACAACUGCCGACACUGACCUCCCCAAUCUCAUCAGGCGAAUAAUUCGAGAGGAACUACGCGACUUCUUGGGAUCCCUGCGCCUCUCAGCCAGUUCUUCAAUCUCGCAACCCAAGGCGCCUAAGAUUGAACAGGUAAUCAAAGACGAACUUCGUGCUGCCCUUCGUCCUAUUUCUUCGUCGUCUCCCACAUGCAUGGCACCAUCGACUUCCUCACCACCCAUCUGCUCUUUACAGCACUCAGCACCACACAUUUGCGCUCUGCAAACUUCUCACAACGUCUCAAUUCCAUCCACACGCUACCUAUCACCCCGGCGGACAGAGGAAUGGCGCACUCAAGAUCAACGUCCGAUAUGCUUCUGCUGUCACGCCCCAGGUCAUAUCAUCCGCUACUGCCGACGCCGCAUAAAUGCUGAAGCCUACAGUCGCACCCCACAGAAUCAAAUGAACGCGUUUUGUACAGAGAAGAACCACGUUAAAGGAGUGGCUAACGACCAGAACGUUUUCUGCGAUGGGAAGUCAACAUGGCAGGUGAUUUCAGAACAUCAGGACAUUCGAACCACGAAAUCCAGCAAGACGACGUAUGUUGACACUGUGUUCAAGGAGGUAGAAAUAGGCACACCCUCUUCCGGUCACUACACCGUUUUUGUGCUGGAUGUAUCUGCCAGUAUGUCUGGCCUCCGCAUUGAGGCUUUGAAAGAUGCGUUCAGAUCGAUGGCUUCUUACGAUCUCACGAACAACGACACGUUUGGAGUAGUAACAUUUAGCAGAUCUGCAACCCGUGUCGCCGAAAUAGAGAAGUUCGCUCAUUACAAUCUCGCAGAGGUACGCUUCAUGGCCGAACUUUUUUAUCCCGACUCCUCCACUUGCAUUGGAUGUGGACUGAAGGAAGCUCUGGAGAUGCUUCAAGAGAAAGAUCGUGUCGCAGGAUCUCGAAUAGUGCUGCUCACCGACGGCAAGGAAAAUGAAGGACCACCAUAUCUUAACACAAUGAUGAAGAACCUGACCGCGUCUAAUGUCGUUGUGGACUCAAUGGCAUUGGGAUCUGAAGCAGACGAUCGGCUAGAAAUGUUAAGCGCUCUGACUGGUGGGACAACCUAUUUUUUCAAAGACCUAAAGGGUGAAACACUACACCAGAUCAACGUCGCUUUUGUGCAUUCCUUGGCCAUAGAAAAAGAUGAGGCUCACAGAGUCAUCACGUUAUGUCAAUGCGAGUUUUACGGAUUUUUGUACCAUGAUUUCAACUGA